AUAUACAUAUAUCAUGCCAAAUAAUAGAGAAAAUCAAAUAAAUCAUGAAGUGCAUAGAUAUUUCUUCUCAUGCUUCGCGAAGUCAUUACAAACAUCUAUCUCUGAGGGCAAAUAUAGAUUUUUAACUACCCAAGUGAAAUGAUCAGAUCAGAUAUAGAUACGGUAAUUUGCUCAAGCCCACUUUUGACUAGCCAAACUAUGGCAUGAUAUAUGACCAUGGUCGUACCAACCAUAGUGGUCAUAACAUAUAUCUAUAGCCACGACAUUACUUAGCAACAAUUGACGCUUAUAAAUGUGUGAUACCACUCUCGUCAGAGGGUACGCUGUCAUCCACUGAGAGUGGUCCUUUUACAUCUUUUCAGACUAG
rnacentral:lncRNA from 1 species